GAUGAACGCUGGCGGCGUGCCUAAUACAUGCAAGUCGAGCGAACGGACGAGAAGCUUGCUUCUCUGAUGUUAGCGGCGGACGGGUGAGUAAGACGUGGAUAACCUACCUAUAAGACUGGGAUAACUUCGGGAAACCGGAGCUAAUACCGGAUAAUAUUUUGAACCGCAUGGUUCAAAAGUGACAGACGGUCUUGCUGUCACUUAUAGCUGGAUCCGCGCUGCAUUAGCUAGUUGGUAAGGUAACGGCUUACCAAGGCAACGAUGCAUAGCCGACCUGAGAGGGUGAUCGGCCACACUGGAACUGAGACACGGUCCAGACUCCUACGGGAGGCAGCAGUAGGGAAUCUUCCGCAAUGGGCGAAAGCCUGACGGAGCAACGCCGCGUGAGUGAUGAAGGUCUUCGGAUCGUAAAACUCUGUUAUUAGGGAAGAACAUAUGUGUAAGUAACUGUGCACAUCUUGACGGUACCUAAUCAGAAAGCCACGGCUAACUACGUG
rnacentral:rRNA from 1 species